rnacentral:ncRNA from 1 species
UUUCUAAUUUAAAUAAAAAAUGGAGGGGAAAAAAAAGAGGAACUAUCUUGAAGGCCUGCGGUGGGUGUUGACGCCAUGUGAUUUCUGCCCAGUGCUCUGAAUGUCAAAGUGAAGAAAUUCAAUGAAGCAUGGGUAAACGGUGGGAGUAACUAUGACUCUCUUAAAAAGAGGAACUAGGGGGCCUGUGAACCCCCACUCCACCUUCAACUGCUAACAAGGGGUCAGGUUUAAAUGAAA